CCCCAGCGAUCCGGACCAGGCAAAAAAGUGGGUGGAAAACCUCAGGCCACCACCGCUGGACUUACCCGCCCACAAUGCAUUCGUUUGCAUAGAGCACUUUGAACCAAGUGCAGUGGGCGUGAGGAAAUUGAGGGCAAAUGCGGUGCCAACCCUCAACCUUGGCUAUGAAGAUGCACCUAGGCAUUUGUGGACGGUUCCACGGCCAAGAAGAAGAUGCUGCAUUAGCAGCGGCGUUACGAGACAGGCGACUCUUUUUGGAUUCCCUAAAAGGGAAGAUGUUCGCCAAAGUUGGGCAAAGGCUUGCAACAUAGUAGCAUCGCCUUCCGAUUCCCUGUUUAUUUGUCGAAACCACUUUGAUCCUGAGUUUGUAACUAAAUUCAGACUUCUGCCUGGGGCUUUCCCUUGUUUAAGAUUAGAGUCAGAACUAAAUCAUAGCACAUCUAGCUCUGACUCUGAUUGGGUAUGCCCGCCCGUCACUACAACUUAUGUUCGUCCUAAAGUAGCUGUAGAAGGUAGUGUAGAGGACGACAUUACUUUGAUGGAAUUUGAAAAAUAUUCCAUCCUAGAGGAAAAGAGAUUAGUAUUAGGGCAGAAAGUAACUGCGAAGGCUAUGCAUUAGACAGCCGCGAACGAUUUGCUCGAUCCGCGCGUUAUUAUCAAAGUAAUGCGCUGAAACUAAAUAAAAAGGUCAAGGAGUUAGAGGGGGUUAUUCAAGACUUGGAAAAAAAUAUGAAGAACUAAAAAAACGUGCAAUAGUUGCGGAUGAGACUUCUUGCCAAGACGCUAUAACAUUCGCUAGGAUGGUCGUCACGAAACGCAAUCACUUUUUUAGUGACAGUGAAAAGACAUUGGCACAUAACAUUAGUUAUAUGUCCACCAAAUCAUAUAAUUUCAUGCGUGACGAUUUAGGUUUCUCGUUACCGAGUAAAAGUUCCCUUUUGAGAUGGCGCCCCAUAAAAUAUGUUUUUCCUGGCUUCGAUGCCAAUGUCAUAACAAAUUUAGGCAAAAUUGCCAAAAAUAUGUCCGAUCUAGAACGUAAUUGCGUUCUUUUAUUUGAUGAAAUCAUCAUAAAGUCCGACCUAACUUACAAUAGAGUUAGAGAUAUUAUUGAUGGAUUUGUAGACUAUGGGGACGACCAUCGCGAAAUGAAAAUAGGCAAUAAGUGUUGUUUCUUUAUGGUAAAAGGGUUAAGUUCAGGUUGGAAAUAUGUGUUUUCAUACUAUAUUUCCAAUGGUGGACUUACUAAUCAAAAUUUAUCCGAAAUUUUGAAUAAAAAUAUCUGAGCACUAAAGUCCAUUGGACUUAAUGUUAAGGCUUUAGUCUGUGAUCAAGGGGCUUCAAAUUCUUCGAUUUUUAAAACGAUAAGAAUUAAUGAAGGAAAUCCCCUUUACAUGCACGAUGGUUCGAAAGUGUAUUGCUUAUAUGACUAUUGCCAUCUAAUUAAGUCCGUCCGCAAUACGUUGAUGAAAUAUGAUAUUUCAACUCCUGAUGGAAUAGUCAGUUUUAGUGUUAUGAAAAAACUAUUCUCCAUUGACCAGAGCAAUACACACUUUAAAAUAUGUCCGAAACUUACGGAGUCACAUAUUUAUACCAGCGUUUUUGAGAAAAUGUCUGUAAAACGUGCCACUCAGGUUUUUAGCAAUUCGGUCGCGGCUGGCAUCGAAAUGGCUUAUAGCCAAAAUCUAUUCGGCAGUGACGAAUAUUUAUUAAAAUGUGUAAAGCCUACGCAGUUAUUCGUCAAGAGAAUGAAUGAUCUCUUUGACGAUUUAGACUGCAAGCAAUUUAAUUCUAAAAAUCCGUUAAAAUGUCCGCUCAUAAGAAAUGAAUUCGGGAAGGUCCAACGCCUCCAUGAUCAUAUUAAGUUUUUACAAUCCAUUAAAUUACCUGUCGUGGCUCGGGUUAAAUGUAUUGAUGGCCUUUCCAAUACAAUUAGGGCUAUGUUAUUGUUAGCAGAAAAACUCUUUAGGGAACAAAAGGAAUUAAAAUAUUUAUUCCUUGGGAAAAUGAAUCAGGAUGCGUUGGAGAAUUUCUUUUAUAGAGUCUGGGCGAGUCAGGGUAUUAAUACCCAUCCGACUGCUCAUGAAAUCCAGUACAUUGUAGGUCGUCUAAUAUCUAUGAAGAUACUUAGACAAAAUUUUUAAAAUAAGGGUGCAAAUUGUGAGGAUGAUGACGAUGUCAAUUUAGAUUGGAAUUUAGGCCCCGAAGAUCGUCAUCUAGAUGUACAGGGAAACGAACAGGAAUCUGAGCAACUCGACCUGGAAUCUUUCACUAUUCCUGACGAAAAUUUUGUUGAAGAGGACGACAAAGCUGACGUCCGGAUCAAGCGGUAUUACACUGGCUAUGGUAUUUACCAAAAAAUUCUGUGUAAGAUCCAUUGCGAAAAAUGCACCAAAGCAAUGACGAAGACACAAAGCGAUUUAACGCUGUAUUCGGAGGCCCUCAUCAGAGCAAAAAAUUACAGGGAUGACAGCGAUUUAAGGCUGGUCAAUCCUAGUGAUAGGGUCUUCGAAGUGUGACGACUGCAAAUGAUGUGGUACGUCAAGCUCUUCAACGAAUAUGCUCAUCAUUCCAAUGUUCGUUGUUUAAUGUUGUCCGCUAUACAACAAAAAACCGAAAAUGUUUUUCCUCAAUGGUUUGAUCAAACCGAUGAGUGUUUCGCACACAAGCUAAAAUUAUUAGAGUAUUUAGUGACAGUACUCCUUUUCAAAAAUUCAAAGUGGUUUGUAAAAGAAGAAUUAAAUAGGGAACGACAUCGAAGCGCGAUGAAAAAAUAAAAAAAACUUAAAAGUAAGUUGCAAGCCAGAACCCUUUAGCUAGCGAACAUCUUACUUUUGGGUUUUUUCUAUUUUCAGCUUUUUUAUAUUUUCAGCUCUGUUUUUACUUUCAGGUUUUUUUUAUCUUUCCAGGGUUUUUUUCUUUUUCUAACGUUGCAGCUGAGCCUAGCUUUUUUAAAAAGUAAUAUUAAUCAAGAUGAAUUAAAUUUAAUUCAUCCCGAUUAAUAUUAUUGUUUAAAAAAGCAGGUGAAAUUAAAUGACUUAAUUUCAUUAUUAAGUCGUGUGAGAAAUUUCCAUUUUAAAUGGAACAUUUCGUAAUUCAGUU